UACGUAGGGUGCGAGCGUUGUCCGGAAUUACUGGGCGUAAAGAGCUCGUAGGUGGUUUGUCGCGUUGUUCGUGAAAACUCACAGCUCAACUGUGGGCGUGCGGGCGAUACGGGCAGACUGGAAUACUGCAGGGGAGACUGGAAUUCCUGGUGUAGCGGUGGAAUGCGCAGAUAUCAGGAGGAACACCGGUGGCGAAGGCGGGUCUCUGGGCAGUAACUGACGCUGAGGAGCGAAAGCGUGGGGAGCGAACAGG
rnacentral:rRNA from 1 species